rnacentral:rRNA from 1 species
GACAGAGGGUGCAAACGUUGCUCGGAAUCAUUGGGCGUAAAGCGCGUGUAGGCGGCUCGAUAAGUCCGUUCUGAAAGUCCAGGGCUCAACCCUGGGAUGCGGAUGGAUACUGUCGAGCUCGAGUCCGGAAGAGGCGAGUGGAAUUCCUGGUGUAGCGGUGAAAUGCGCAGAUAUCAGGAGGAACACCAAUGGCGAAGGCAGCUCGCUGGGACGUGACUGACGCUGAGACGCGAAAGCGUGGGGAGCAAACAGG